AGGGAUUUGGUGGGGAUGCACCAGGCAGGCUCAGCCCCAGGAAGCCCUGAUGAAGGAGCAUCAUGAAAAUGUUCUCCAGCAUCUGGAAGGGCAUUUUUGGCCAAGAUCUGUGAGCACUGAUUGGCUGGACCAGGUGGGAAGGGUAGCAACUGGAAUGGAUACAGGAAAAGGAGAGGUUGUUCUGUUUCUCCUCUGCUACCUACUUCCUGCCUCUAACAGACCAGCUUCAUGUUAUGAGGGUUGGUAAAAACCAUCAGGAAGAGGUACAUCCCUGGUGGUCAGU
rnacentral:lncRNA from 1 species